UAGUACCGCAGAAAUUUACCUGGUCACCUGACACGACUCCUCCCACAGUGCUACGCAAGGCAGCGCUCCUCACAAAUCUCACCACGUUCCGAUGGAGUGGGGUUUGCAUGUCUGUUUCGAGGGAUUGAGUCAAAACAAGCUCUGAAAAAAACGGGGCUCAGUUUCCCUAAUGUCCUCCUUCAAAUUAAUUAGUGAUGAGAGUGGCUGAUGCUCUGAGUGUAUUUCUGUGAGGGAUAAAGGACGACAGUUUUAGGCUCUUGUAGUCAGCUGCUGGUGUAAAAGUGCAAUCCGUUGGUUCAUCUGUGACUGAACUCGAGCCAGACCGAUGUCUCUCGGAGAUUCCAUCACUAUCGCCGACCUCAUGCAAGAUGUGCUCUGGACUGGCUGUGAUUUCUCCUCCUCAUGCUCGAUGGCAGACGAAGACAGCCGCUCUGUCCACGUGAGCUUUGAUCACAAAGAGAUGGCUCUGAUCCACAGCUAAACCUGAUCCACUGCUCUCCUGUCUCUCUGACCGUCCCCUCUCCUCUGUUUUCCUCU
rnacentral:lncRNA from 1 species